UUGCUUUAGCAGCACAUAUACUAAAAUGGAAUGAGACAGAGAAAAUUAGCAUGGCCCCUUUGAAAGGAUGACAUGUAUGAAGCAUUCCAUAUUUUC
ensembl:snRNA U6 U6 spliceosomal RNA